UUUUGAUGUCAAAUUUUUCGCGCUUAAUUAACGAAUCGAUUGCCAGAUGUUCGGGAAUUUUAGCACCAACAGGGGCCGAGUAAUUAAUUAAAAAUCGAAUUUAUUGGUUUCGAUUUCGUAUUGAAUGCGUGACGAAUUGGAUUUUUCCUGUUCCACUUCUACCAAAUUGGGUUUUCUUUAUAAGGUAAACGCUCAAUUUUGGAAGGAUCUUUUGCGUUCUAUUUGCCGUAAGUACGUUGUAGCGUUUGCAAUUUUUGCGUGCCUUUACAUUUGCCUUUUCUUACCGCGGUUUAAUUUCGCAAGCUAGGGAAUUUGCCGGCACGCCACAUUUUGUUUUAGAGUUCCAGACAGUACCGCCGCCAUUUUCUGGACCUUAUCGCCGAAUUCCUGGAAUCUUCGAUUGAGACUACUUCCGAGGCUACCGAAACCGAUCCUGUCCUUCCGUAAUUACCGCCGACCUCGUCCAGGCGCGAGAUUUUCAUCUGGUGACGCUCGAGUCCGUCCCCUGUACCGCCGUUUCGUCGACAACUGAUUGCCGCCGACUACCGCUUGAAGAAUUACAAUAUACGGUGCAUUAUAAUAUAUUUAAUUAAACUAGUUUCGACAAAUA